AGCGAACGCUGGCGGCAGGCUUAACACAUGCAAGUCGAGCGGGCGUAGCAAUACGUCAGCGGCAGACGGGUGAGUAACGCGUGGGAACAUACCUUUUGGUUCGGAACAACACAGGGAAACUUGUGCUAAUACCGGAUAAGCCCUUACGGGGAAAGAUUUAUCGCCGAAAGAUUGGCCCGCGUCUGAUUAGCUAGUUGGUGAGGUAACGGCUCACCAAGGCGACGAUCAGUAGCUGGCUGAGAGGAUGAUCAGCCACAUUGGGACUGAGACACGGCCCAAACUCCUACGGGAGGCAGCAGUGGGGAAUAUUGGACAAUGGGCGCAAGCCUGAUCCAGCCAUGCCGCGUGAGUGAUGAAGGCCCUAGGGUUGUAAAGCUCUUUUGUGCGGGGAAGAUAAUGACGGUACCGCAAGAAUAAGCCCCGGCUAACUUCGUGCCAGCAGCCGCAGUAAG
rnacentral:rRNA from 1 species